GAUGAAGAACGUAGCGAAAUGCGAUACGUAAUGUGAAUUGCAGAAUUCGGUGAAUCAUCGAGUCUUUGAACGCACAUUGCGCCCCCUGGUAUUCCGGGGGGCAUGCCUGUCCGAGCGUCAUUGCUGCCCUCAAGCACGGCUUGUGUGUUGGGCCUCCGUCCUCCUCCCGGGGGACGGGCCCGAAAGGCAGCGGCGGCACCGCGUCCGGUCCUCGAGCGUAUGGGGCUUCGUCACCCGCUCUUGUAGGCCCGGUCGGCGCUUGCCGACACAUCAAUCUUUUUUCCAGGUUGACCUCGGAUCAGGUAGGGAUACCCGCUGAACUUAAGCAUAUCAAUAAGCGGAGGA
rnacentral:misc_RNA from 1 species